AACGAACGCUGGCGGCAGGCCUAACACAUGCAAGUCGAACGAAGUCUUCGGACUUAGUGGCGCACGGGUGAGUAACACGUGGGAAUAUACCUUACGCUGGGGGAUAACAUCGGGAAACUGAUGCUAAUACCGCAUACGCCCUUCGGGGGAAAGAUUUAUCGGCGAAAGAUUAGCCCGCGUCCGAUUAGCUAGUUGGUGAGGUAAUGGCUCACCAAGGCUCCGAUCGGUAGCUGGUCUGAGAGGAUGACCAGCCACACUGGGACUGAGACACGGCCCAGACUCCUACGGGAGGCAGCAGUGGGGAAUAUUGGACAAUGGGCGCAAGCCUGAUCCAGCCAUGCCGCGUGAGUGAUGAAGGCCUUAGGGUUGUAAAGCUCUUUCACCCACGACGAUGAUGACGGUAGUGGGAGAAGAAGCCCCGGCUAACUUCGUGCCAGCCGCCGCAGUAA
rnacentral:rRNA from 1 species